AACUGGUUAAGCUAUAAAGAGCGCAGGGUGGAUGCCUUGGCACUAAGAGCCGAUGAAAGACGCGAUAAGCUGCGAAAAGCUUCGGGGAGGAGCAAAUAUCCUUUGAUCCGGAGAUAUCUGAAUGGGGAAACCUGGCUGAGCAAACCUCAGUCGGCGUAUGGUGAAUACAUAGCCAUACGUUGGGAACCCGCUGAACUGAAACAUCUAAGUAGGCGGAGGAAAAGAAAGAAAACUCGAUUUCCAAAGUAGCGGCGAGCGAAAUGGAAAGAGCCUAAACCGGCGUGCGUGCAUGCCGGGGUUAUGGACUGCAAUAAGUGACUCGUAUGGUAACAGAACGGUCCUGGAAAGACCGGCCACAGAGGGUGAAAGCCCCGUAUGUGAAACCAGAAGAGAGCGAGCAGAUUCCAAAGUACCACGAGACACGAGAAACCUUGUGGGAAUUCGGGGGGACCACCCCCCAAGGCUAAAUACUCCUUAGUGACCGAUAGCGCAUAGUACUGUGAAGGAAAGGUGAAAAGAACCCCGGGAGGGGAGUGAAAAAGAACCUGAAACCCUGUGUUUACAAACUGUGGAACCACAUUUUAGGUGGAACCGCGUACUUUUUGUAGAACGGUCCGGCGAGUUGCCGGGACUGGCAAGGUUAAGCACUGAAGGUGCGGAGCCGAAGGGAAACCAAGUCUUAAUAGGGCGCAGAGUCAGUUCAGGCAGACCCGAAACCGGGUGAUCUACCCAUGUCCAGGUUGAAGUUUCCGUAAAAGGAAAUGGAGGACCGAACGCACAUCCGUUGAAAAGGGUGGCGAUGAGGUGUGGGUAGGGGAGAAAUUCCAAUCGAACCCGGAGAUAGCUGGUUCUCCUCGAAAUAGCUUUAGGGCUAGCCUCGUAUUAGUUUAGCGGAGGUAGAGCACUGAAUUCUUAAGGGGGCGUCAAAGCUUACCAAGAGAUAUCAAACUCCGAAUGCCGCAUAAAUGAUGUACGGGAGUCAGACUGCACGAGAUAAGUUGGGUAGUCAAAAGGGAAAGAGCCCAGACCUACAGCUAAGGUCCCAAAGUGUGUGUUAAGUGGAAAAGGAUGUGGGAUUUCAAAGACAACUAGGAUGUUGGCUCAGAAGCAGCCACACAUUCAAAGAGUGCGUAAUAGCUCACUAGUCGAGAGGUCCUGCGCCGAAAAUGUCCGGGGCUGAAACACAACACCGAAGCUUAGGAAUUGACGCAAGUCAAUUGGUAGAGGAGCAUUCUUAACUGCGGAGAAGCGUUACCGUAAGGAGGCGUGGAGUGUUAAGAAGAGAGAAUGCCGGAAUGAGUAGCGAGAUGGAGGUGGGAAUCCUCCAGGCCGAAUAUCUAAGGUUUCCAGAGUAAAGCUGAUCUGCUCUGGGUAAGUCGGGGCCUAAGGCGAGGUCGAAAGACGUAGUCGAUGGACAACAGGUUGAAAUUCCUGUACCGCGUAUUAUCAGAACUGUGGGGACACAGAACCGAAGCCAAACCCGGGAAUGAAAAGACCGGGGCAAGCGCCGGACUGGUUAGACUGGAAAA
rnacentral:rRNA from 1 species